AGAGUUUGAUCUGGCUCAGGAUGAACGCUGGCGGCGUGCUUAACACAUGCAAGUCGAACGGACUUUACAUGAAGCCUAGCGAUUGUAAAGUUAGUGGCGGACGGGUGAGUAACGCGUGAAUAACCUGCCCUGUACCGGGGGACAACAGUUGGAAACGACUGCUAAUACCGCAUAAGCGCACGGUUCCGCAUGGAACAGUGUGAAAAACUCCGGUGGUACAGGAUGGAUUCGCGUCUGAUUAGCCAGUUGGUGGGGUAACGGCCUACCAAAGCAACGAUCAGUAGCCGGCCUGAGAGGGUGAACGGCCACAUUGGGACUGAGACACGGCCCAAACUCCUACGGGAGGCAGCAGUGGGGAAUAUUGCACAAUGGGGGAAACCCUGAUGCAGCGACGCCGCGUGAGUGAAGAAAUUAUUCGUAACGUAAAGCUCUAUCAGCAGGGAAGAAAAUGACGGUACCUGACUAAGAAGCCCCGGCUAACUACGUGCCAGCAGCCGCGGUAAUACGUAGGGGGCAAGCGUUAUCCGGAUUUACUGGGUGUAAAGGGAGCGUAGACGGCACAGCAAGUCUGAUGUGAAAGCCCGGGGCCCAACCCCGGAACUGCAUUGGAAACUGCUGGGCUUGAGUGCAGGAGAGGUAAGCGGAAUUCCUAGUGUAGCGGUGAAAUGCGUAGAUAUUAGGAGGAACACCAGUGGCGAAGGCGGCUUGCUGGACUGUAACUGACGUUGAGGCUCGAAAGCGUGGGGAGCAAACCAGGAUUAGAUACCCUGGUAGUCCACGCCGUAAACGA
rnacentral:rRNA from 1 species